GGCAAAAUAUCGCUGGGUAAACGCCAUUUGUGAUUUGUUGGUAAAUUUUUGUUCAACUAUUGAGUAAACUUAAGGGUUGGUUAAGAUAAAAAAGUUACCAACGUUGAGUAUAGUUUAAACAACAAUUGUUGGAUAAACAUUGUCCAAUUAAUUGGUAUUGUUUAUUAGAUUUAUCCAACCACGAAUUGCUGGGUAGAAAUUGGAGAAACACUCCCGGCAGAUGGGCAUUGUGGCGUGAAAGGGUGUGACGUUAACCAUUUUGUUGUGAACUUUGUUAUCGUGCGCACACGCGCUCAUUACCAAGUCAUGAAAGUUAUAAUGCGACGUCGAUGAUGGCUGACCACCAAGUGUUGAGAUUACUGGAGGAGUGUGGCGUUAGCUCCCUAACGGACGUUUUCUGAGAUAAUGAGAUCGACAUGCAGGCAAUGAAGGUGCUGACCGAGGCAGAUAAUUUGCAACUUAUUCCCAAAAUCAUCCAUCGACACUCAACGGGAUAUCAUAAUGCCACACUACCUGAAGGAUAGACACAAAGCUUCAUCCCCAGCCCUUUGUGCUAUCAUUAGGCAGCGCUGAUCUGGAGUCAAGAAAUGCUUUUCCACAACCAUCAGUCAUGAAAGC